rnacentral:rRNA from 1 species
AGUGAACGCUGGCGGUAGGCCUAACACAUGCAAGUCGAACGGCAGCACAGGAGAGCUUGCUCUCUGGGUGGCGAGUGGCGGACGGGUGAGGAAUACAUCGGAAUCUACUCUGUCGUGGGGGAUAACGUAGGGAAACUUACGCUAGUACCGCAUACGACCUACGGGUGAAAGCAGGGGAUCUUCGGACCUUGCGCGAUUGAAUGGGCCGAUGUCGGAUUAGCUAGUUGGCGGGGUAAAGGCCCACCAAGGCGACGAUCCGUAGCUGGUCUGAGAGGAUGAUCAGCCACGCUGGAACUGAGACACGGGCCAGACUCCUACGGGAGGCAGCGGUGGGGAAUAUUGGACAAUGGGCGCAAGCCUGAUCCAGCCAUACCGCGUGGGUGAAGAAGGCCCUCGGGUUGUAAAGCCCUUUUGUUGGGAAAGAAAUCCAGCUGGCUAAUACCCGGUUGGGAUGACGGUACCCAAAGAAUAAGCACCGGCUAACUUCGUGCCAGCCGCCGCCGUAA